AAGUGUUAAAGCUCUUUUAGAAUUUGUCUAACAAGUUUUGUGGUUUACUAGAAAACCAUA
rnacentral:snRNA from 1 species